AUGAAUUUCAGACUCUCUUAGGGAUCAUUACAAAAGAGAUCCAAGACUUCCUGAAGGGCAGAGGGACUCCAGGGAGCUGUUAGGAGGCAAAAGUCCUCUGCUGGAAGAUAAAGUGCAGCAUUGUGCCAUUGGAGGAGUCUUGAUUUUGAUUUCUUACAAACCACUUGUCCCCAAGGGGAAUUGCCAACAGACAGAAGGAACCAAAUGUUUUUAUCUUCCUGAAAUUCAUAUGGUGAAAUCCUGACCCCCAUGAUGAUAGCAUGAGGAAGUGGGGUUUUUGGAAGGACACAUGAGAAGGUGCUGUCUAUGAACCAGAAAGUGAGCGCUCACCAGACACCAAC